GUCCGCUAAUCUGCACCCGCCUCCGCGUUUCCUGAAAGCGCGCGGCGGCGAGAGGAGCGGAAGCGGCGACAAGCAGAGAGAUGGCCGGCGGUGGCGCCGCCGCCGCGUCGGCGCUUUCGAGCCCCUGGAGGGCGCUGCUCCAGCGAGCGCUGGACGCCAACGCCCACCUCAGGCACUCCACCUACUUCCAACUCGCCACGGUGGGCGCCGGCGGCAGGCCCGCGAAUCGCACCGUCGUCUUCAGGGGUUUCCAGGAACAUUCUGAUAAGAUUCAGAUUAACACAGAUGCCCGAAGCAACAAGAUUGGUGAGAUAAGGAAUUGUCCCUUUGGAGAGAUUUGUUGGUACUUCGCAGACAGCUGGGAACAAUUCCGUAUCAGUGGAAGCAUUGAUGCGAUUGAUGGCUCCAGUGCAGACCCUGCCAAGCUCCAGAACAGGGAGAAAGCCUGGUUCGCGAGCUCAGUAAGGUCAAGAUUGCAGUACUUGGGACCUCAGCCAGGUGUUCCCAUUAUAGAUGACGAGCAAGUUAAGGAUGUUCAUCUGGAUCCAUCAGCUGUCCCAGUAGAAGCCUUUUGCCUUCUGGUUCUUGAUCCAGAAAUGGUUGAUUAUUUGAAUCUAAAAAGCAACCAGAGGUUGAUAUUCACAAGAAGCCACAAGGAUGAUGGCUCCGUUGAUUGGAUGGCUGAAAAAGUUAGUCCAUAAACUGCUGUUAGAAGUUUGUUUGUGAACUUCUUAAGCGCAUAGAGGCUAUUAGUAGUCGAUGAGAAAGUUGAUACUCCUAUGUUAUAUGCAUGCUACUGGGGGCUUCCCUUCGGGAACAUAGAAGAUAAAGUGUAGGGUACAACUGAAGAAGAUCAGAACUCAAAGGUUCUGAAGGAUUUGAAGGUCAGAGAAGGGCAGUAGGAGUGAACGCAUCAACCUCCGUGAUAAUGUGCACUGGUGGGCAGAGCAAAAGCCGUUGGACGAUUGGAGAACUUCAGGUAAUCUGGGCAGGCCUUGAAUGCGGCCUUCCAAAUCAAAAGCUGGUUGCUGUCACCCUGCAAAGCUAAGGCAGAACACAUCACAUGACCUGCCCGUUAUUUGUAACAGUGCAGAGCAAUAUACUGAUUAGUGAAAGAAGCUUGUGGCUCCAGUGGUCAGUGGGUGCUCAUCUCAGCAUCUGAUUAUGAACAGUUUGAGAUGAAAACGUGCCAAUAGCAUUUUGUCACGCAAAAGUAAAGAUGGAGUGAACUAUUGUGGUCAUGUUCUGCCUGAGGCCCCAGCUGCAACUUGGAGUGCAUAGUAUGUUUUGGCGAUGUCAAGUCUAGAGCCUUUUAUUUUUUGGGACCAUAUGACCAUUGGUUGGUUCAUCUUGACCACUAUAGUUCUGCAGACUCGAUCAUCUAGCACUACCAAGGAGGAACAGAUAACCACGAGCAACCUUUCAGGAUCUGUCAAGUGCAACUCCAUUGCACUGAUUGGCGAGGUCAAAGGUGGCUGUUAAAUUGGGUAUUCAGCUUCUGCAUCGAAGACUUUUGGCAGCCU